AGCGCAGGUGGUUUAUUAAGUCUGGUGUAAAAGGCAGUGGCUCAACCAUUGUAUGCAUUGGAAACUGGUAGACUUGAGUGCAGGAGAGGAGAGUGGAAUUCCAUGUGUAGCGGUGAAAUGCGUAGAUAUAUGGAGGAACACCGGUGGCGAAAGCGGCUCUCUGGCCUGUAACUGACACUGAGGCUCGAAAGGCGUGGGAGCAAGCA
rnacentral:rRNA from 1 species